GGGGCUGUAGCUCAGUGGUUAGAGCUGUCGGCUCAUAACCGAUCGGUCGCGGGUUCAAGUCCCGCCGGCCCCACCA
rnacentral:tRNA from 1 species